rnacentral:rRNA from 1 species
GACGAACGCUGGCGGCGUGCCUAAUACAUGCAAGUAGAACGCUGAAGAGAGGAGCUUGCUCUUCUUGGCUGAGUUGCGAACGGGUGAGUAACGCGUAGGUAACCUGCCUUGUAGCGGGGGAUAACUAUUGGAAACGAUAGCUAAUACCGCAUAACAAUGGAUGACACAUGUCAUUUAUUUGAAAGGGGCAAUUGCUCCACUACAAGAUGGACCUGCGUUGUAUUAGCUAGUAGGUGAGGUAACGGCUCACCUAGGCGACGAUACAUAGCCGACCUGAGAGGGUGAUCGGCCACACUGGGACUGAGACACGGCCCAGACUCCUACGGGAGGCAGCAGUAGGGAAUCUUCGGCAAUAGGGGCAACCCUGACCGAGCAACGCCGCGUGAGUGAAGAAGGUUUUCGGAUCGUAAAGCUCUGUUGUAAGUCAAGAACGAGUGUGAGAGUGGAAAGUUCACACUGUGACGGUAGCUUACCAGAAAGGGACGGCUAACUACGUG